AUUAUUAUUUAAUCACAAUUGAUAAAACUGAAAUAAAAAUUAUCCAUAACUAAUACUAUAUACAAAAUAGUACAAUCUGAUUAUUCUUAAAAAGUAAAAUAACAAUAAUACUAAACUCCCUAACAGCUAUCAUAUUCCUGACUUGGUACAGUCAUUUUCAUAAAUGAAAAUGGUGGAUUAAACCUGGUUUUAUAGCUAGGUAACCUAAUUGCUUUUAUUAUUGGUAUUAACCAUCAUAAACAGACUCAUUCAACGCAUUUUUCGAUUGCAAUGUCUAGUCUUAAAAUAAUAGUAAUAUACUGCUCUUUUUCAAGUUUUGAUUGGAAUUUAUGCUGGUAUCACAUGGUGCAAAUGUUCAUCUUUACAUAAAUGUGCCUUGCUGUUGAUUUUGUUUAAGGAGCUGAACUAAAGUGUUGUAUGUUGUCAGUACAAUUUUAUUUCAAAUACAGGGCAAAACAAGGUCCUAAAUGAGAGAACAAUGCAACAUGAAUGCACCAUUUGGAAGAGCCAUCUUUUAUAAAUGAAGUUUUUUUGGGGGAGGAUUCAACACAAGAUUAUAUACAAGUUUAAGAGGAUGUUUUACCAUAUAUUAUAUAUAAUAAGGUGCAAAAAUUAAAUUUUAGCCUGUCAAUUAAGGGCUAUUCCAGAAAAAAUGUAGGGGGGGGGGGGGGGGGGGGGGGGGGCUGGAAGGCAGUUUUUGUCAGCACCCGCCACCCAGACAAUUGUAAUUGAGAAUUAUAGUGCAUUAUAGUGUGAAAAUUUGCUCUGAUACCCAUCAUGCAUGUAUUAUUAAUACAAUGUGCCUUCCAACCCCCCCAUACAUUUUUUUCUGGAAUAGCCCUAAUCCACUGAUAGUAUUAUCACCUAAAUUUUAUCCAUGUCACUUUACAUAUGAUCCAGUAUUCAAAAAUAUAUAGUAGUUUGACAGGAAAAUGGUCGGGCGAUCAACUUGAAAAUUAAGGUACCCAAAACAAAAUUCAAUUAAAGCAGAUGAAGUUACAGUAUUGUACAUCGGUGCAAAUAAAUUACUAGCUUUGUGCCGAUGUAACUGGUUUUUUUUCUAUACAAAGUUCAUUCAUUUAAUGAUUUGACUAGAAACAUAUAAAAAAAAUAAGCACAUGUAAGAACCACAAAUAUAUUAACUUGAGACGAACAUUGUAAUAAAUUUGUUGGUUCUUGCAUGGAAUCAUAUAUGUGGGUCAAAAACUUGCGUAUGUUUUACAAAACACAUAGAAGGUCACUUUCCAUGAUGCUGCAACUACAUUUCUUGUGACAUCAAAAGUACAUAAUUAACUGUUUUAAUUCUAUAAAUACAUAAUUUUCAAAACAGACAUCAAUGGAAACCUGAAAUCAAAGUUGAAAUUGUUGUAUAAAAUAUGGCCAUAAUCACAUUGUGUACUUAAAAUUGAAUUAAUGAUCAUAUAUAAUGAUCUAAGAAUAUAGUCAGUUUUUGUUUCCCAUAUGGACUUCCGAACUUAUAAUUAUUGUUAAAUUUCAAGGCAACAUUUAGUUUUCAAAGACUAAAAAUGGCUUAUUAAAAAGUUGACUGAUGGCAUUCCCACUGCUGAUCUUUAACCAAAUGAAUAUAAGAUAAAAGUCAGAUGAAGUAUUUCAGACAUACAUAUAAUAUUCAGUUUAUAUUAUAAUUCAAAAU
rnacentral:lncRNA from 1 species